rnacentral:rRNA from 1 species
AGUGAACGCUGGCGGCAGGCCUAACACAUGCAAGUCGAACGGCAGCACAGAGGAGCUUGCUCCUUGGGUGGCGAGUGGCGGACGGGUGAGGAAUGCGUCGGAAUCUGCCUAUUUGUGGGGGAUAACGUAGGGAAACUUACGCUAAUACCGCAUACGACCUACGGGUGAAAGUGGGGGACCGCAAGGCCUCACGCAGAUAGAUGAGCCGACGCCGGAUUAGCUAGUUGGCGGGGUAAAGGCCCACCAAGGCGACGAGCCGUAGCUGGUCUGAGAGGAUGAUCAGCCACACUGGGACUGAGACACGGCCCAGACUCCUACGGGAGGCAGCAGUGGGGAAUAUUGGACAAUGGGCGCAAGCCUGAUCCAGCCAUGCCGCGUGUGUGAAGAAGGCCUUCGGGUUGUAAAGCACUUUUGUCCGGAAAGAAAUCCAAUCGCUUAAUACUCGGUUGGGAUGACGGUACCGGAAGAAUAAGCACCGGCUAACUUCGUGCCAGCAGCCGCCGUAAAAC